rnacentral:rRNA from 1 species
GAUGAACGCUGGCGGCGUGCCUAAUACAUGCAAGUCGAGCGAACAGACGAGGAGCUUGCUCCUCUGACGUUAGCGGCGGACGGGUGAGUAACACGUGGAUAACCUACCUAUAAGACUGGGAUAACUUCGGGAAACCGGAGCUAAUACCGGAUAAUAUAUUGAACCGCAUGGUUCAAUAGUGAAAGACGGUUUUGCUGUCACUUAUAGAUGGAUCCGCGCCGCAUUAGCUAGUUGGUAAGGUAACGGCUUACCAAGGCAACGAUGCGUAGCCGACCUGAGAGGGUGAUCGGCCACAAUGGAACUGAGACACGGUCCAGACUCCGACGGGAGGCAGCAGUAGGGAAUCUUCCGCAAUGGGCGAAAGCCUGACGGGGCAACGCCGCGUGAGUGAUGAAGGUCUUCGGAUCGUAAAACUCUUUUAUUAGGGAAGAACAAAUGUGUAAGUAACUAUGCACGUCUUGACGGUCCCUAAUCAGAAAGCCACGGCUAACUACGUG